UUGGCGCGUGACACGUGACUAUCUUUGGCGCGUCUGCUAAAUAGGUUAAUAACCCUCUGAUGCUGAGUGAGCUUCUCUUUCAUUAUGACCCGGGGCGGACUUACCAAAGACAGCACCAGGACAUUUCACGUUGACCUAAUGGUCAAUCUGGAGUGCCACCGUGAAUCUGGACCAAUCGCCCACCACCAAGCGUAAAAGGCAGUCCAUUGAGUCCUGAGUGUCUUCUGGAUGGACCUGAUUGGGGUCAGCAGAUCCUCCACUGUGAACAUCUGGAGGGCCCUGAUCCGCAUCAGCAGAUCCUCCACUGGGAACAUAUGGAGGAACCUGAUCCACACUGGCGGAUCCUCCACUAGGAACGUCUGGAGGGACCUGAUCCACACCAGCAGAUCCUCCACUAGGUACGUCAGGAGGGACCUGAUCCACACCAGCAGAUCCUCCACAAGGUACGUCAGGAGGGACCUGUUCCACACCAGCAGAUCCUCCACGAGGUACAUCUGGAGGGACCUGUUUCACACUGGCAGGUUCCACGUGGAGGACGCUUCCACAGAUGUGCCUGAGUUUUAAUUGAAGUGGGAGCUGGUUUGCCAGCUCCUCAAUAGUGCCUGCAUAGAAAUGUACAGGCACUAUGUACUCAUCCAUAUGGCUAUCCAGGAGGAUGAGCUUGUCGUGCAUCUCUGACACUCCAACGAUCUCAAGAACUGCCUCCUGGAUAUCCCUAUCAAUAAGCUGAAAAACAAAAAAAAAUUUAGAAAAGGUGACUGAGCUCAAUGAUGUCCCCGACAUAGAGCUCGUUAAGUGCUUCUUCCCGCCACAGUGAGACAUCGUGUACUACGGAGCCACAUUUCAUCCGCAGGUCCAGGAUCGGUAUGUGAGUGCGAGUCAUUCUAGGCACUUCAACCUGGAAAAUGACAAAAAGGUCGUGAAGGAGGACAGAGGGCCUCCCUUGCAGCUCUUUUAGCCUCCUCACUUAUGGCUAGCGGAGCCGUCCUAAAUUUGAUGGUGCCUUUAUUUACAAAUAAACAUCGGCGGCCAUAUUUGUUUGAGAUGGUUACAUUUUUUACAAUAUAUGAGUGUCCCUCUUCAAAUUCAGGGUCACUGCCGUUUUUUUAUGGACAGAUAAACUGCAUCACCAUCCGUAAGGGCACAUAAAGAUGUGACUUUGUAGGUGUCAACAAUUAUUUUGUUUUCAUGUUUAAUAAAUGUCACAGCCUUUUGGCUACUGUGCACUUUAACACAGGUGAUGUGCAGUGGUGGUGGGCGGCUGUACGGUGUUGCCAUCCUAAGAAUAAGAAAAAAAGGUUACUCUGUAUUAGUUGUAAAUAUUAUGUAGAAUAAAUUAUUAUUUCUUUUUAACUCAAUUCAUCAAUUAAACAUAUCAAUUAAUCU